GCCUGCUAAAGUUUGAGAAGCAUUUCCCUUCACUGUUACUCACUCCUGGCGCUCCUCACCUAGUCUUUUUUAGCACAGGAGCAGAGGGGCUGGAGACCUAGAAAUAUGGUUCUUUCACAUUUAUCCCCUUCCCUACGCACACAGUUUUUCUCUUCAUAAUGGCACAAAGUGGAAGCAAUGGACUCAAAAUAACCCAGGAGGCCUGGAACACAUGGGGAAUAUAAAAUAUUGAUUUGGAAGGCUGGAAGGGCUGCCUUAAGAGCAGGUAUCAGAUAAUCAUGGAAAAGAUGAAGCAAGAAGACAAUCCACCAGCCUCUAGGUCCAUUGGUUCAACAUCAGGUUCUGCAGCUAUGAUAGACUUGCUGGCUCAACUCUGCAUUAUUGCCACUCUGGGACCCUGAGCUUCACAGACUCCUUCCUGAUCGCUGAGCAAUCUCACAGAUGUGGCCCAGCGUCCAAGAUGGUACAGAUACAAACAGAAAGCUGACCACAUUUCAGAGUCCCAAAUAAGGAGCAAGAUGACACCUUCCACUGCCCCGUAUCCCUCCCUACAUUCUCCACUCCCAAACCUACUGGUACUCUCUGACUUAUCUCACACCCUCUAGACUUUAGCUUGGACAGAAGAAACCCUUCUUCUUACUUUCUUGGCAAUCUCUAAAAAAAUUCUCAGGCCAGGAAAGGGUAUCGUACUGCCUGUAGUUUAUAUCCUUCUCCCUGUGUCAUUAAGAACCAUCUUGUGGCU
rnacentral:lncRNA from 1 species